AUUGAACGCUGGCGGCAGGCCUAACACAUGCAAGUCGAGCGGAUGAAGGGAGCUUGCUCCUGGAUUCAGCGGCGGACGGGUGAGUAAUGCCUAGGAAUCUGCCUGUUAGUGGGGGAUAACGUCCGGAAACGGGCGCUAAUACCGCAUCCGUCCUGAGGGAGAAAGUGGGGGAUCUUCGGACCUCACGCUAUCAGAUGAGCCUAGGUCGGAUUAGCUAGUUGGUGGGGUAAAGGCCUACCAAGGCGACGAUCCGUAACUGGUCUGAGAGGAUGAUCAGUCACACUGGAACUGAGACACGGUCCAGACUCCUACGGGAGGCAGCAGUGGGGAAUAUUGGACAAUGGGCGAAAGCCUGAUCCAGCCAUGCCGCGUGUGUGAAGAAGGUCUUCGGAUUGUAAAGCACUUUAAGUUGGGAGGAAGGGCAGUAAGUUAAUACCUUGCUGUUUUGACGUUACCAACAGAAUAAGCACCGGCUAACUUCGUG
rnacentral:rRNA from 1 species